GAUAUUUCAUUGAAUCUUUAAGGUGGUCUUUAUUAAGGCUGGCCACCGGUUAAGGUUCAAGGAAAAGAAAAUUCUUGACUUACAGGCUUUGGGUCCAAAUCAGUGCAAGUUCAGAAGGCAGUGGAAAAAUGAUCAUGCACUGAUACAGAAAAAUGUACUAAAAAUUUAUCAAAAAGCAGAUCACAUUAGCACCUCAUUUAUGCAACAUGAAUAUAUGUUUAUGUGCCCCACAUUUUUAACAGUGAAAUCUCUUGAUGAUGAGAUUGCUAUAAGCUUUUUCAGCGUUUUUUUUUCCUGAUAGUAUAUAAUCGCUGUAAACAAACAAAACAAAGUAAACACAAUUCAAAGGGGAGGGGGAGUAAAAAACAUUUCAGUUCCGUGAGAGCCACUAUUUCUUCCACGCGCUGCCAGAAUCAUCGCGUCGGAAAACGCUAGGAACCUUAAAGGGCCUUAGGAGCACGUGAUAACGACGGCGUAAUGUGACCAGAUUUACACAACUGUUGCACGACAAUAGUAAAAUGAUCGUGAACACAAAAAUCUAACGUUUCCGAAAUAAAUUCUAAUCGCCAGAGGCCGGUAAAGGCCUAGGUCUGGGGGCGCGGGGCAUAACGCAGGACACUGGGGGAAAGCGAUUUGCAGACAGGUGGCUUCGGAUCUCGGGGGACCAAAAGCCUUCAUACAUCUCAAGUUGGGGGACAAAAAGAGGGGCCGUGAUGGCUGACCAUUCGAAAUAAAAUAAACAAAAACAAGUAUUAAGGCAAACUUUUUUUUAAUAUUUUGGAAUACAUAAUUUACACAAAAGUAAUGCUAUCACCCUCCCCUGUGUGGACUCAGGCGAGGACUGGCCCUUCUCCUUAGAGAAGCAAGUGGCUUUGGGGAAGGCAAGGGACUUCCUGUAACAAUACAGCUCAUGAUAUUUGGAAUGACU